rnacentral:rRNA from 1 species
UACGUAGGGGGCAAGCGUUGUCCGGAAUCAUUGGGCGUAAAGAGCGUGUAGGCGGCCCGAUAAGUCCGCUGUGAAAGUCCAGGGCUCAACCCUGGGAUGCCGGUGGAUACUGUCGGGCUCGAGUCCGGAAGAGGAGUGUGGAAUUCCUGGUGUAGCGGUGAAAUGCGCAGAUAUCAGGAGGAACACCAAUGGCGAAGGCGACUACCUGGCCUGUUCUUGACGCUGAGGCGCGAAAGCUAGGGGAGCAAACGGG